UAGCCCCAGAAAGACCUUCUUCUUCUUCCUUAGAAAAAAAAAACCCUAGGACACAAGACUAAAAAUCCAUGGCAGCUUUCUUCUUCAACAAGACACCACCCAAAAACCUAGCUGAACCCUAGCACCCUUAGAGACCCCAACCGCCGGUCAUCUCCCAACCCAAACUCGCCGGACCUUCUUCUUCAACAAGAAGACAACACAAGACUACAGACCCAUGGCUGCCUUCCUCGUUUUCCUCAGCUUAACGACCAAACGAUCCCACCCUUUCUGCUGCUACCCCAAAAAUCAACCAGCCGCAGUCUCCUUCAACGACAAACCAACCACGCAACCACCCUUCACUACCACAAAAAAUAGCCGCCACACCAUCCCUGAUUCUCUAACCAUCCACUGUCUGCCUCACGUAAAUCUUUGAUGGAACUCGAUGAGAUGCAGCCGAGAUCGAGUUCGAGUUUGCCGACGAGUCUCCUCCGGUCGAAGGUUCCUGUUUGGUUGAGUUAGAUUGUUGUCCAUUCUCGGAGGAAUUUAUUUUUUAAAUCUGAAAGCUCGACUAAAGGAACAUGUAUGUCUAGUGGCCUAGUUGGGAGCAGCGACAUGAUUGACACAGGGACUUAGACGAGCUGCAUCUUUUGUGAGAAUCCGCAUCCAGCAAAGUCUCCUUCAGAGUAUUGUUAUUUUCUUUUCUGUCCAAAUUAUAUUCCGUACAGUUAUUGUAUUUUAUUUUAUUCCUUAAUAAAUGCUCAUGCACUUGUGACACCAGGUUCUGGGACGAUUAUAGGAUACUUAGUGUUGAAAUUGGAAAACGUUAUUUCUAUUCUAGUAAAGUUCAUCUUUUACCAGUUAAA